GAACGGGUGAGUAAUAUAUCGGAACAUGUCCGGAAGUGGGGGAUAACGUAGCGAAAGUUACUCUAAUACCGCAUAUGCCCUGAGGGGGAAAGGGGGGGAUCGCACGACCUCUCGCUUUCGGAGUGGCCGAUAUNGGAUUAACUAGUAGGUGAGGUAAAGGCUCACCUAGGCGACGAUCCGUAGCUGGUCUGAGAGGACGACCAACCACACUGGAACUGAGACACGGUCCAGACUCCUACGGGAGGCAGCAGUGGGGAAUUUUGGACAAUGGGCGCAAGCCUGAUCCAGCCAUACCGCGUGAGUGAAUAAGGCCUUCGGGUUGUAAAGCUCUUUCAUCCGGAAAGAAAUCGCACUGGUUAAUACCUAGUGUGGAUGACGGUACCGGAAGAAGAAGCACCGGCUAACUACGUGCCNGCAGCCGCGGU
rnacentral:rRNA from 1 species